GGGAAUCCCUCCAGCGGCCCAGCCCCGCCUCCCGAGAUGUGGCAGGCCUCCUCCCCGCCCUACACUUUCUACCACCUGCCUUCCGCCUUGCAGGGAGGCUACCACCGGCUCCGGGAAGCCCCUCCCGCAGCCCUGCCGCUCCCCUGACUCAGAAGGAGCUGCUCGACCGACAGAUACCAAGGUCGUCUUUGCGCCGGCGUGCGACCAAUUUAAUACGUCUCCGUUAUGCACAAAAGCGGAGACCGACCGCCCGGCGCGGCUUCGACUCUCGGCGCGCGGAAGCGAUCCCGGGGUCCAGUGGGCCCGCUUUAGCCACGCCUCCGCGGGCGGGAAAAGGCGGGGAAUUCAAAUUAGGAACGGCGUUGGGUGAGCGCGACGAAGCGUCGACAGAAACACAGUUUCUCUUUUAAAAGGUAGAGGAUUUAAAAACCUGCACAGGAGCCUACUGCCUAGUGUGGCUCCCAUACCAAAGUCCGAGAAGCGAGGGAAGUGAGACCUCGAAGGAGGGUGACCUGGCUCACCUUCUUUCUUCGAUGGAAGGCUGCUAGGAGAUCCAUCGCGGGAAGCCCAUACCCCCAUGUGGCGUGUCUCCUGAACCGCGCUUUUUACCUUUUGCCCCGGUAAGACGUUUUCGUAAGCUCAUCAUCGUUCGUGGUACGAGACGGACGUCGCCACGUAGUGAAAAGCCGAGGCUUCACGGCCCCAGAAGGUCUGUGACCUCUCUUUUUUUUACAACCCCUUGAAAGUGUCUGUUGUUGACGCACACCUUCCAAGAGUGGACCGGGCCAAAUGUGGGUGCGGGCUGUAGUCUGCCAACCCCUGAUAUAAAACACCUUUUUGUCUUGUCACGGAGAUGCCUCCCUUCAGGCUUCUUGACAGUCCGCUGCCACAACUAGAGAAAGGCCUUACAUUUACAAGUGGCUGUGGCUCGUGACCAAAGUGGAAACGGAGAGUUCCUGCUCACUUGUGUCUCCCGGGUUUUCCAUCCAUGUUAAUUAAGUACAUUUGUUGAGCACGCACACUGUACACUCUUCCUUAAAUACCUUUGUGUUGGCGGACGUUUCCAGGGUUUCUUCCUUAAACGCGUGGUUCCUGCAGUUUCCCUCCACCUGUCAUCACCAGGACUUUUUAUGUUUUAGGGCAGAUCAGGAUUAAAAUCUCUGCCAGCACUCAAGAGGACUCAUGAUUAUAACAACUGAAUGAAUCUAGGGGCGCCUGGGUGGCUCAGUCAGUUAAGCAUCCAACUCCUGGUCUCGGCUAGGUCAUGAACCCUCGGUUGUGGGAAUCGUGAACGCUGAUUGAUCCACUUUCCUCAGAAAGUGGAUGGGAACGAGAGGACCCGUCAAUCGCAAAGACGCAAAACCAACCAGCCAAGAGGAAGGGUCCCCUUAAUUCUGUGGGAGGAAGCAGAGCAAGACAGCUGAGGAUGUUGGGAGGUGGGGCCUCGGCAGCCUGGAUCUCUUUGGAUGUAAAAUACGAUAAGUAACACCUUCUCUUUGGGAUUGUUGGAAGACCAAAAGGACAAUGUGGGGAUUUGCCGUCCCGGCCCACGGUGGGUGCCCAAGUUCCUGGAGCCUUCCGGUCACUUACAAUUCAAACAAAAGAAACACCAAAAAGUUAGCUCGUGUGUCAUGGGCUCCUUUUCUCUGUCUCGGCACCAGAAGGUUCUAGAAACCGUUUGCAGACUCUCCUCAGGGACUCAGAAGUCAUCAAGUGCCGUCGCCGAGCACUUCUCAAACGGUCCCGUACGCACACGCACACGCACACGCGCACGCGCGCACACACACACACACACACGCCAGGAGAGUCUUGUUAAGAAGCCCGUGGUCCUGCGUUUCCAGCAUGCUCGCGGGACCCCAAUGCUGCUGAUCUGGAGACCUCGCUUUGAGCAGCGAGACGGUGGGUGGCCUCUGAACCUGACAGUCCGUGGGCUAUUAUUCCAUAUAGGAUGCCGGGACGGCUGGGUAGCCAUCCAGAAAAAGUAACGUCAGACUUAUACUCCCAAUUCCCAUACUAGGACUGAUACGAAGAAGUGUGAUCUGUGCUCGAGGUGGAAAUGCAAAAUGAUGAACAAUUUAAAGGACAACGGGCAAAGAAUAGAGACGCUCAGUAACUUGACCAAACUCACAAGAAGCCGGUGCGUGAACUGGAAUGAGAAACCAUUAAUUUGCAAUGGGAAAUACUCCUUUGCGAUGACAGAACAUGCAUGUCUGCCAUCCCAGGCACCUCACUGCACAGAUCAAGAUGCCCCUGAAGUUCCGUGAGGGAGCCCGGUGGGGCGCCUGGCUGGCUCCGUCAGAAGAGCAUGGGACUCUCGAUGAUCUCAGGGUCGUGAGUUCAGACCCCAUGUUGGGCGUGGAGCUUACUUUAAAUAAAUAAAUAAAUAAAUAAAUAAAUAAAUAAAUAAAUAAAUAAAUAAGCAAGCGAGCACGCACGCACAAGAUGACCAGAUAAACGUGGAAGCGAGCAGAAAGUUGGUAGAACGCAGUGAGGGUCAUAAUUACCACAAGCCAGGAGGUCUGCUGGUCACCUUCCAUAUGUAGAGAUCACAUUAUAUAAUAUUUAUUCAUUCAUUUAUUCGACCAAAUAUACGAAGUGUCCAGUAUAUGCCAGGUACUGUCCUAAGCACUGGAAAUAUAACUGUGGACUAUGGAAUAAAGAACAAAAACAAACAACAAACAAAAAACA